GAAAUGCGAUAAGUAAUGUGAAUUGCAGAAUUCAGUGAAUCAUCGAAUCUUUGAACGCACAUUGCGCCCGCCAGUAUUCUGGCGGGCAUGCCUGUUCGAGCGUCAUUACAACCCUCAGGCCCCCGGGCCUGGCGUUGGGGAUCGGCGGAAGCCCCCUGCGGGCACAACGCCGUCCCCCAAAUACAGUGGCGGUCCCGCCGCAGCUUCCAUUGCGUAGUAGCUAACACCUCGCAACUGGAGAGCGGCGCGGCCACGCCGUAAAACACCCAACUUCUGAAUGUUGACCUGGAAUCAGGUAGGAAUACCCGCUGAACUUAGGC
rnacentral:misc_RNA from 1 species